ACCAACACUUAACUAGUUUUGUUUUCUGGGUUUUCCUUUACUUCUUACCAAAAAAAAAAAGAAAAGAAAACAACUUCUCCUUUUUCAUUAGGGUUCUUAUCUCUCUCGAGUCUCACCUCGUCGUCUAUGUCAUCCUCGAGUCUCAUCUCUGUGUUUCCCCUUUGCUCGAUCUCGAGCUCCAACCACCACUCUGUCAUCUCCACUCACCCGCAAUCAAACACGGUGGCGCCUCUUGUCCACUCUCGAACCUCACCGCCGUGUCUCUGCUCAUCAAUCCGCCGUUCUCUGCUUCACGCCACAACGGUCUCGCCGUCGUCGUCACGUCUGGAGCUCUCAUCCAUAUAAUCCAUCGCUGAGUUCGUGACCAAACCACCACACGAUACCACCUGCUCCGAAUCAAGCUUCUCUGGCGCGUUCUUGCUUCACAACUGGCAUCUCCGUCUUGUUCUGUUCUCGUCAUCACCAGAAUCAUGCCUCACCGUCGGGAUCGAAGUGGAGAAGAGCAACAAUGGUGAUCUUUGAACUAUUUGCAGAUAUGGUCCUUCAUCUUUGAGAAGGAGAAGCACUACAAGUGAAAGCAGCCAAGAAAGUUGUUAUAAAAUUGCCAGUGGAUGAUGCUUGUUUAGUUAAGAGCUGAGCUUGUCUUGUGUCUAAAUCGCCUUGUGCUGUGACUGUAUUGAAACUGCAGUUUGAUAGCUUUUGAUUAAUGAACCCAUCUUAAAGGCUGCUAGGUAUUGAUUUAGUAGGAAUGGUGUAGAGCCUGAUGAUUGAAGAAGCUUCGAGGGUUGCAAGUGCCAGAGUUGUUAAACGAAUCCAGCACAAACUCGACCUUGCAGGAAACGAGGAGGACAUUGAGAAGUACAGCAAACGACUUGUGGCAAUGCAGGAAACAAGCAGGACUUUGGUAUCAGACUUGCGACUUUUGACUGCAUUUUACCAUUUUGGUAUCAAUGUAGGUAUCAAAUACCAGAGGAAUUGCCAUACAAUGAAGCUCGUGCACUAUUUAAAGAGCCUGAUAUAUAGAUCAAAUUGCAAUGUAUAGACGAUAAUUAGAGUUUUGUUAUAAAAUAGUUUAUAUAUCAUUGUUAUUCAAAAAUGAUUGUAUUUUAGUUAAAUAUCUUCGAGUAUAAAAUUAAAGGAUACAAAUGAUAAU